UGAAGCCUCCAGGUAGCAGGCUUCAGAGAGAAUAGAUUGUAAAUGUUUCUCAUCAGACUUAAAGAGUCUGUUCUCUCAGUCUUUAAGGGGUGUGUUGAUGUUACUGCUGGUCAGCUGGGCCUGAAAUCCAAAGGGAGGAGGGUACAGUGAGGCAUAUCCAACACCCAUUUCCUGUCGUGGUCUGAACUAGUGUUUCAGGUUAACCCUGGACUGCCCUUGGUCAAGAGCAGGGGUCCAUUCAGAUGGUGGGGGUGCUUAGAAUUUCAUUUUUGGUUUACACCACUGUGUCCUCUCCUGCCAGGGGAGGGACCCAGAGCUGGAGGCUUAGCCCUGGAGAUACCGGUGAAGAUGGAUGAAUGAGAAACCAGUUGGAGCUUCCAAGGCCUGUCGUCCAUCAGGAGAAGCAAAAGGUUUUAUUCUAGAGACAAGUCCUUCCAACUGUACAGCUGAUGGAGUGGCCAAGGAAACCUGGUAUGGACCCUUUCAUUUCUCAGUGAACUGAGCCUCUGGGCUUCCUUUUCGCCAUGUCUUGAGUAGGACCUGUGCACCU
rnacentral:lncRNA from 1 species